rnacentral:misc_RNA from 1 species
AACGCACAUUGCGCCCCCUGGUAUUCCGGGGGGCAUGCCUGUCCGAGCGUCAUUUCUGCCCUCAAGCACGGCUUGUGUGUUGGGCCCCGUCCUCCGAUCCCGGGGGACGGGCCCGAAAGGCAGCGGCGGCACCGCGUCCCGUCCUCGAGCGUAUGGGGCUUUGUCACCCGCCCUGUAGGCCCGGCCGGGGCUUGCCGAUCAACCCAAAUUUUUAUCCGGGUUGACCUGGGAUCAGGUAGGGAUGCCCGCCGAUCUUAA